rnacentral:lncRNA from 1 species
UGGACAUCGCCGGAAAUCGCUCCGGGCACCAACGACGAAGUUCGAUUGAGGAAGAAAGCAAGGGAGGAAGACAACGAAAAUGAGAGGCAGCCAAGUAAGACCUUUAGGGCAGAUUCAUGGGGUUUAUAUAGACCCCCCUGACGGCCCAGAUCAACAGGGUCGGUCCCCAUCCCCCGACCGGGUUGCGCCACGUGUCGACCUCGAAAGCCGAGGCACCGUAUCCACUCCGAAUUAAUAAAUCAGGUACGAAAUCGAAGCGUUGUCCCAUCGGAUCUC